AACGAACGCUGGCGGCAUGCCUAACACAUGCAAGUCGAACGAGACCUUCGGGUCUAGUGGCGCGCGGGUGCGUAACGCGUGGGAACCUGCCUUUAGGUUCGGAAUAACUCAGAGAAAUUUGAGCUAAUACCGGAUGAUGUCUUCGGACCAAAGAUUUAUCGCCUUUAGAUGGGCCCGCGUUGGAUUAGCUAGUUGGUGGGGUAAAGGCCUACCAAGGCGACGAUCCAUAGCUGGUCUGAGAGGAUGAUCAGCCACACUGGGACUGAGACACGGCCCAGACUCCUACGGGAGGCAGCAGUGGGGAAUAUUGGACAAUGGGCGAAAGCCUGAUCCAGCAAUGCCGCGUGAGUGAUGAAGGCCUUAGGGUUGUAAAGCUCUUUUACCCGAGAUGAUAAUGACAGUAGCGGGAGAAUAAGCUCCGGCUAACUCCGUG
rnacentral:rRNA from 1 species